UACGGAGGGUGCAAGCGUUAUCCGGAUUCACUGGGUUUAAAGGGAGCGUAGGUGGGUCUGUAAGUCAGUGGUGAAAUCUCCGGGCUUAACCUGGAAACUGCCAUUGAUACUAGAGGUCUUGAAUAUUGUGGAGGUUAGCGGAAUAUGUCAUGUAGCGGUGAAAUGCUUAGAUAUGACAUAGAACACCAAUUGCGAAGGCAGCUGGCUACGCAUAUAUUGACACUGAGGCUCGAAAGCGUGGGGAUCAAACAGG
rnacentral:rRNA from 1 species